CUUCCUGGGGGGGGUGGUUUUGUCCUCCUCUACCAAGAUGGGCUGAAUCGAUGAGGAGCAGGACAGCGGUUUGUCAAUGGAGGAGCUUUUUAUUUCUCCUCUAUUAGACCUCCUUCGUCUGGGUGUCUACAGGACAGGUCCGGGGAGUCUGUACCGGGGAAACGCAAAGUGUCGGCGGAUGAAGGGGCGCUGCGUCCCUGCAGCUGUGACCGCCGGCCGGGAGACACUGUCGGUGCUGCCGAGGAUGUGAGCCGGUGCUGGACGGAGGUGAUGAUCCAUAGAGUCAUUCGGACAAAUGCAGCCUGAUGCUACCCAACACAACGGGUGCAGCAUCAGCAAAAUGCUGCAGGCCCUCCGCCGGGCGCAAAGACUCAAAGAGGGAGAACAAGGAGCUGGCUGCAGAGAAUGACGCUCUGAAGAGUCACAUCGCCAACAAGAAACUCAGCUGGGAUAAUGAAAGAAAGGUGGUGGAGCCGAUGGGCUCUACUGCCUCACAGCUGUGUCAGGCCAGAGAAGACUUGGUCAACAUGAUCAUGAUCAAGGAAUCAAGGAGACAGAGGAGAAGUGGUCUGCUGAGCAGGAGCAGUCAGUGGAAAACGAGAGAAAGAUGGAGGAAGAAGUAAAACUCCUGAUCCAGCAGAACACUGAGCGUCAGGAACACGUCUUGAAGACCGAUGAGUAUGAGCUGAAGGUCAAAAAGGAGAAUAAGGAGAGAGAAGAACUGAAGAAGAGAAGAAGGAAAGGAUGAAGAUGUUCCCCAGUUCUCUAUUUAAACACCAGAACUCCUCCUAAUCUCCUCUGUCAUCCUUCCUCUCUCAACCAUCCCCUCAGACCAACCCCCCACACCCUUACCCCCUAAACCCCACUUCCUCC